CGUAGUCUCGCACAGAUGCAUAUCAAUAAGCGGAGGAAAAGGAACUAACAAGGAUUCCCUUAGUAACGGCGAGUGAAGCGGGAAGAGCUCAAAUUUGAAAUCUUCAAGGUUUUACCUUGACGAAUUGUAGUUUAAAGAAGUGUUUUCUGUUGAAGUUUUGGUAAAAGUUCUUUGGAAUAGGACAUCAUAGAGGGUGAGAAUCCCGUAUUUGACCAUUAUUUUCAGCUGUGUGAUACACUUUCAAAGAGUCGGAUUGUUUGGGAAUGCAGUCCAAAAUGGGUGGUAAAUCUCAUCUAGAGCUAAAUAUUGGCGAGAGACCGAUAGCGAGCAAGUACCGUGAGGGAAAGAUGAAAAGAACUUUGAAAAGAGAGUUAAACAGUACGUGAAAUUGUCAAAAGGGAAGCGUUUGACACCAGUGUUGUUUUCUCGAAAAUCAAUUAAAAAGAGUUUGAUUUUGUUGUGUAUUGACCUUAACAGCUUGCAUUUCAAUUUUCUUGCUUUUUUUAAUGCACUUUUCGUUUAACAAGUCAACAUCAGUUUCUUUUGUUGUAAAAAGGUCAUUGGAAGGUGGCUUUCUUUUCGGAGAAAGUGUUUAUAGCCUUUGACUCCUGCAAUCGGAGAGACUGAGGUCUGCAGCGUAGAUCCUUCGGGGUUAGAUACAUUUGUGCUAAGUUAUAGCUUUUUAUAGACAACUUGUUGACUAUGAUUAGUCUUGUAGCUUACUCGCUUAUGCUAUUUUACCUACGCUUAGGAUGUUGAGCGCAUGUCUCUCUCU
rnacentral:rRNA from 1 species